rnacentral:snRNA from 13 species
AGUUUUGCACAGUGGCAGUACCGUAGCCAAUGAGAUUUAUCCAAGACGCGAUUAUUGCUAAUUGAAAAUUUUCCCAAUACCCCACCAUGAUGACUUGAAAUAUAAUCAGCACUGGCAAUUUUUGACACUCUCUACGGAGA